rnacentral:rRNA from 1 species
CGCCCUUAGAGUUUGAUCAUGGCUCAGAUUGAACGCUGGCGGCAUGCCUUACACAUGCAAGUCGAACGGUAGUCUUCGGAUACGAGUGGCGAACGGGUGAGUAAUACAUCGGAACGUGCCUAGUAGUGGGGGAUAACUACUCGAAAGAGUGGCUAAUACCGCAUGAGAUCUACGGAUGAAAGCAGAUCGUUGUGCUACUAGAGCGGCCGAUGGCAGAUUAGGUAGUUGGUGGGAUAAAGGCUUACCAAGCCGACGAUCUGUAGCUGGUCUGAGAGGACGAUCAGCCACACUGGGACUGAGACACGGCCCAGACUCCUACGGGAGGCAGCAGUGGGGAAUUUUGGACAAUGGGCGCAAGCCUGAUCCAGCAAUGCCGCGUGCAGGAUGAAGGCCUUCGGGUUGUAAACUGCUUUUGUACGGAACGAAAAGCCCUGGGUAAUCCUGGGGUAUGACGGUACCGUAAGAAUAAGCACCGGCUAACUACGUGCCAGCAGCCGCGGUAAUACGUAGGGUGCGAGCGUUAAUCGGAAUUACUGGGCGUAAAGCGUGCGCAGGCGGUUUUGUAAGACAGAGGUGAAAUCCCCGGGCUCAACCUGGGAACUGCCUUUGUGACUGCAAGCUAGAGUACGGCAGAGGGGGAUGGAAUUCCGCGUGUAGCAGUGAAAUGCGUAGAUAUGCGGAGGACACCGAUGGCGAAGGCAAUCCCCUGGGCCUUACUGACGCUCAUGCACGAAAGCGUGGGGAGCAAACA